rnacentral:rRNA from 1 species
GAAUGAACGCUGGCGGCGUGCCUAACACAUGCAAGUCGAGCGUGAAAGUCCUUCGGGAUGAGUAAAGCGGCGGACGGGUGAGUUACGCGUGAGAACCUACCUUUUAGUGAAGAAUACCCUCGAGAAAUCGAGGCUAAUACUGCAUAAGUCCCUUCGGGGAGAAAAGUGGCUUUUAUGCUGCUGCUAAAAGAUGGGCUUGCGUGCUAUCAGCUAGUUGGUAGGGUAAAGGCCUACCAAGGCUAUGACGGCUAACCGGCCUGAGAGGGUGUACGGUCACACUGGAACUGAGAUACGGUCCAGACUCCUACGGGAGGCAGCAGUGGGGAAUAUUGCGCAAUGGGCGAAAGCCUGACGCAGCGACGCCGCGUGGAGGAUGAAGGUCUUCGGAUUGUAAACUCCUGUUAAGCGGGAAGAAAACUCAAUCUCUAAUAUAGAUUGGGCAUGACGGUACCGCUAAAGAAAGCACCGGCUAACUUCGUGCCAGCAGCCGCGGUAAUACGAGGGGUGCAAGCGUUAUUCGGAUUUACUGGGCGUAAAGGGUGUGUAGACGGCAUGUUAAGCCUGUUGUUAAAUUUCCUGGCCUAACUGGGAAUAUGCGAUGGGAACUGGCGUGCUAGAGGAUGGAAGAGAGAAGUGGAAUUCCCGGAGUAGCGGUAAAAUGCGUAGAUCUCGGGAGGAACACCAAUGGCGAAACGCAGCUUCUUGGUCCAUUCCUGACGUUGAGACACGAAAGCGUGGGGAGCAAACAGGAUUAGAUACCCUGGUAGUCCACGCUGUAAACUAUAACUACUGGACGUUGAUUCAGCUUUGCUGAAUCAGUGUCGAAGCUAACGCGUUAAGUAGUUCGCCUGGGUAGUACGGUCGCAAGAUUAAAACUCAAAGGAAUUGACGGGGGUCCGCACAAGCGGUGGAACAUGUGGUUUAAUUCGACACUACGCGAGGAACCUUACCUGGGCUUGACAUGUACUUGACAGCCGUAGAAAUACGGUCUUCUAGGCUUCGGUCUAGACGGGUACACAGGUGCUGCAUGGCCGUCGUCAGCUCGUGUCGUGAGAUCUUGGGUUAAGUCCUCUAACGAGCGCAACCCUUGUUGUCAGUUGCAACUUACGUAAGUAAGGCACUCUGACGAGACUGCCUGGGAAACCAGGAGGAAGGUGGGGAUGACGUCAAGUCAUCAUGGUCCUUAUGUCCAGGGCAACACACGUGUUACAAUGGUCGGUACAAAGGGCUGCGAACCCGCGAGGGGGAGCAAAUCUCAAAAAGCCGAUCUAAGUUCGGAUUGAAGUCUGCAACCCGACUUCAUGAAGCUGAAAUCGCUAGUAAUCGCAUAUCAGCUACGAUGCGGUGAAUACGUUCUCGGAC